rnacentral:rRNA from 1 species
GACGAACCGUGCAAACGUUGUCCGGAAUCACUGGGCGUAAAGGGCGCGUAGGUGGUGGCUUAAGCGUGCGGUGAAAGCUCGGGGCUCAACCCCGAGUCGGCCGUGCGAACUGGGCUCACUGGAGCAUAGUAGAGGCAGGUGGAAUUCCGGGUGUAGCGGUGGAAUGCGUAGAGAUCCGGAAGAACACCGGUGGCGAAGGCGGCCUGCUGGGCUAUGGCUGACACUGAGGCGCGACAGCGUGGGGAGCAAACAGG